CUGAGGCUCCAAAACCCGGGGUCCAGGAAUGACUGCUGCUGGACAGGCCCCUGACUCAGAGAUAGCCUCUUGUCCACGUGGCCCCGGCCCCAUUGGGGACCACGUGUUACACCGCCAGGCUCCAGUACAGGGAAGCAGACUCAGAGACAGCGUCCAGAGGCCUGACUCUUGGUGCAGCCAGGGCCUCCCACUUGCCGUGUGAUUUUUCAGUGAGAUCCACCUCUCUCUGCGCUUCUGGUGCUUCAUGGAUGAGGACACUGAGGCUCAAACUGGGUGAGUGAACAAAAGGUAUAUAUGGUGGGGAAAAGCGA